rnacentral:rRNA from 1 species
GACGAACGCUGGCGGCGUGCUUAACACAUGCAAGUCGAACGGAAAGGCCUUUUCGGAGGUACUCGAGUGGCGAACGGGUGAGUAACACGUGGGUGAUCUGCCCUGCACUCUGGGAUAAGCCUGGGAAACUGGGUCUAAUACCGGAUAGGACCGCACUUUAGUGUGUGUGGUGGAAAGUUUUUUCGGCGUAGGAUGAGCCCGCGGCCUAUCAGCUUGUUGGUGGGGUAAUGGCCUACCAAGGCGGCGACGGGUAGCCGGACUGAGAGGUCGGUCGGCCACAUUGGGACUGAGAUACGGCCCAGACUCCUACGGGAGGCAGCAGUGGGGAAUAUUGCACAAUGGGCGCAAGCCUGAUGCAGCGACGCCGCGUGGGGGAUGACGGCCUUCGGGUUGUAAACUCCUUUCGCCAGGGACGAAGCGUUUUGUGACGGUACCUGGAGAAGAAGCACCGGCUAACUACGUG